rnacentral:rRNA from 1 species
AGGACGAACGCUGGCGGCGUGCUUAACACAUGCAAGUCGAACGGAAAGGCCCUUCGGGGUACUCGAGUGGCGAACGGGUGAGUAACACGUGGGUGAUCUGCCCCGCACUUUGGGAUAAGCCUGGGAAACUGGGUCUAAUACCGAAUAGGACCAUGGGAUGCAUGUCCUGUGGUGGAAAGCUUUUGCGGUGUGGGAUGGGCCCGCGGCCUAUCAGCUUGUUGGUGGGGUUAAGGCCUACCAAGGCGACGACGGGUAGCCGGCCUGAGAGGGUGUCCGGCCACACUGGGACUGAGAUACGGCCCAGACUCCUACGGGAGGCAGCAGUGGGAAUAUUGCACAAUGGGCGCAAGCCUGAUGCAGCGACGCCGCGUGGGGGAUGACGGCCUUCGGGUUGUAAACCUCUUUCAGUAGGGACGAAGCGCAAGUGACGGUACCUACAGAAGAAGACACCGGCCAACUACGUGCCAGCAGCCGC